rnacentral:rRNA from 1 species
UACGGAGGGUGCAAGCGUUGUCCGGAUUUAUUGGGUUUAAAGGGUGCGUAGGCGGUUCUUUAAGUCAGCGGUGAAAGUCCAGAGCUCAACUCUGGGAUUGCCAUUGAUACUGAAGAACUUGAGUAUAGUUGAGGUAGGCGGUAUUGACAGUGUAGCGGUGAAAUGCAUAGAUAUUGUCAAGAACACCGAUUGCGUAGGCAGCUUACUAAGCUAUAACUGACGCUGAGGCACGAAAGUGUGGGGAUCAAACAGG